rnacentral:rRNA from 1 species
CGUUUUAAUAAUAUAUUUAAAAUCUGGCCUGCUCAAUGAGUUAAAUAGCCGCAGUAUAUUGACUGUGCGAAGGUAGCAUAAUCAAUAGGUCAUUAAUUGUGAUCUGGAAUGAAUGGUUUGACGAGGGAUUGACUGUCUUAGUGAUUAUUAUGAAUUUAAAUAAUUAGUAAGAAUGCUAAUUAGGAUGAAAAAGACAAGAAGACCCUAUUGAGUUUUAUAAAAAUGCUUAAAUUUUAUAGGGUACAGUAGGUAUGUUUUAUUUGGUUGGGGCGAUCGUUAUUAGAGACAUAGGAAAACAAUUAAUUUUUGAGCCAUUAUUAAUGAUUAAUAGAAUAAAUUACCAUAGGGAUAACAGUUUAAUUUUACUAUAGAGUUCUUAUCGAUGGUAGAGUUUGACACCUCGAUGUUGGAUUAAUUACCUUUUAGGCGCAGGAGCUUGAGAAGGAGGACUGUUCGUCCUUUAAAUUAUUACA